UCCUCCUGAAAGCUCCGCGGACGUACACGGAACUUUCAGUGCACGUCCCACGUACGGCUGUCAGAAGGAUCUGGACUUUGUUCAGGGCAAAGUUGACCUGAAAGGCGCCGUCCUGAGCCGGAAACAUCACUUUUGCACAGCAGAAACCGACCUGGAGUGUCACCUUGAUCCCUUCAUGCAUGUUUGAGAAGUCCUUUAAUCUCCCAUGGCAACCAUUCAGCUGUGCAAAACGCUUGGGUGGACCUAGCCCCGCCUUCGAUGACGGAUCUCCUCCUGUUAGCUGCAGCUUCUAAGCUUCUGAUCUGAAUUUUCCCAUUGUGUGACAAUAAAGGAUAUUUCUGGACUAUUCCAUAAGAAAAUUCCAAGCCAUUAACUUCUGACGUUGAGCUGCAACGUGUUUAGGUUAUGCUGUGGGACAUGGUCCAAAGUACACCAGCAGGUCAAACAAAGGUUUUGGAGCAAGUC